CACCAUGUGAUGACGUCAUAACUCAUUUGUCGUUCCUGUUUUUUUCAGGUUGUCAGAGCAGCUGAUAGGCGAAAGUUAGCCAGACUGUUAGCAGCAAUGUCGGCUAAUUCAAUCAAACGGUUUAAUGACAUGAAGCUAACUGAGGUCACACACUACACAGCUCAGAAACACCUGCAGCUCCGCUCCGCUGAGAAACCUGAGGCCGCAGACGGUGCGGGUUCACCGGGGAAACAGUCAGCGGUCAGCCGUCUCAUUCCUCCACACAGCCCGCAGACGCCAUCCUCAUCUACCCGGCAUGCAUCUCGAGGAGAGGGGGGACAGAUUAACAGCGCCCCCUGUCUGCUGCUCCACAAACCUGUCAUCAGGCAGCAGAAUGAGCCUCCUGCUCCUCCACUGUGACAGCAGAACUAAGAAGAAUGAAAGCUCCUGCAGUGAUAGCACCGUAUGAACAAGCUGCAGAUGAUCAGUGUUGUAGGUAAAAGUGUCCUGUGUGACAAUAACCAGGUCUGUCACAGUGCAGACCCUCAGCCCAGGCUCAGAGCUGACCCGGGUCUGUGGAUCAGUCUGGACUAUGAGAAGCCCUUGAAUGUCCGUAAAGUAAAUGUUUACUGUUUCACUGAUGUCAGAUAAAUGCGUUGGAGUAAAAGGUGCAGUAUUUCUGUCUGAGGUGUGACGGAGUCAUUUUAUGGUUUUAAUGUUCAUGCUUUUAAAAUGUAUUUUAUUUUUAUCAUAACCUUUUAUUUGUUUUAAUUAAACAUCUAUAUUUUGUAUAGAUGUUUAAUUGCAUUUUACUGUUGUUACCAUUAUUAUAUCAUAUUUUAUCAACACUUUUUAAAAUAAACUUUGACGUGUAAUAU